rnacentral:rRNA from 1 species
CACGUAGGGGGCGAGCGUUGUCCGGAAUUACUGGGCGUAAAGAGCUCGUAGGUGGUUUGUCACGUCGUCUGUGAAAUUCCGGGGCUUAACCUCGGGCGUGCAGGCGAUACGGGCAAUACUUGAGUGCUGUAGGGGAGACUGGAAUUCCUGGUGUAGCGGUGAAAUGCGCAGAUAUCAGGAGGAACACCGAUGGCGAAGGCAGGUCUCUGGGCAGUAACUGACGCUGAGGAGCGAAAGCAUGGGUAGCGAACAGGAUUAGAUACCCCCGUA